rnacentral:rRNA from 1 species
GACGAACGCUGGCGGCGUGCUUAACACAUGCAAGUCGAACGGAAAGGCCCUGCUUUUGUGGGGUGCUCGAGUGGCGAACGGGUGAGUAACACGUGAGUAACCUGCCCUUGACUUUGGGAUAACUUCAGGAAACUGGGGCUAAUACCGGAUAGGAGCUCCUGCUGCAUGGUGGGGGUUGGAAAGUUUCGGCGGUUGGGGAUGGACUCGCGGCUUAUCAGCUUGUUGGUGGGGUAGUGGCUUACCAAGGCUUUGACGGGUAGCCGGCCUGAGAGGGGGACCGGCCACAUGGGGACGGGGAUGCGGCCCAGACGCCUACGGGAGGCAGCAGUGGGGAAUAUUGCACAAGGGGCGGAAGCCUGAUGCAGCAACGCCGCGGGGGGGAUGACGGCCUUCGGGUUGUAAACCGCUUUCGCCUGUGACGAAGCGUGAGUGACGGUAAGGGGUAAAGAAGCACCGGCUAACUACG